AUUGAACGCUGGCGGCAUGCCUUACACAUGCAAGUCGAACGGCAGCGCGGGGUAACCUGGCGGCGAGUGGCGAACGGGUGAGUAAUAUAUCGGGAACGUACCCUGGAGUGGGGGAUAACGUAGCGAAAGUUACGCUAAUACCGCAUACGAUCUAAGGAUGAAAGUGGGGGAUUCGCAAGAACCUCAUGCUCCUGGAGCGGCCGAUAUCUGAUUAGCUAGUUGGUAGGGAAAAGCCUACCAAGGCAUCGAUCAGUAGCUGGUCUGAGAGGACGACCAGCCACACUGGAACUGAGACACGGUCCAGACACCUACGGGUGGCAGC
rnacentral:rRNA from 1 species